AAAAAAAGUAAAAAACACAUAGAGCAGCUAAUUCCCCAAAAGGCAAAAACAUUAUAGAACUGAGAAGAGCAAGGAGCAUCGACUGAAAGCUAGGGUUUUUGCAAAUCGAUUCUUCAUCAGGUUCUAAACCCGUGCGACCACUUGGACCUAUGGAUCAGUUCGCACGCGCAAUAGAUCCGGAUGCAUCAUUGAGGAAGACAAGACAACAAAAUAUUAAAGAUGCACUUAGCCAAAUUAUAGACUCGAGGGCCAAGGACCGACUUGAUAGUCCUUUACACUUAGCCGGCUACUUGUUAAAUCCUUAUUACUACUAUCGAGAUGACGAGGCACAGAAAGAUCCGGCAUGUAUGACAGCUAUUUUAACAUGUAUUGAAGCAUUCUUUUCGGAUAAUUUUCAUGUCCAGCACCUGGUUUCUAUUAUUGAGUUGCUGAAAUAUAUAUAAAGGAAUGGAGGGAAUGUUUGGAAAAAAUUAGCCAAAAUGGUUAGAAUGACCAAUGAUGAUACUUUUGAUCUUGUUGGAUGGUGGUCAAAUUACGGUGCUGAUGAAACUCCAAGUUUGCAAAUGAUACAACUUCAAGUUCUUCGGGAUGUGAAAGAAAUUGGAGUACAUUUGAGGGAGUUAGUUGGUUAAAUGAUUUAAUGGAACUAAUUUAUUAUAUUAGUAUCUUAUAAUUAUAACUUACAAGGAUUAAUUUAUUUCUCUCUUAUAUUAUUUUUACAGAUUCAUACCAAAAAGAGGAAUAGAUUAGAUGCUGCAAGAAUGAGCCAUCUAGUAUAUGUGCAAUUUAAUUCAAAACUUUUCGACAAGAAAAAGAAAAUGAAAGAAAAAUGUGAUGUAUUAAUAGCUAAUGAUGCUAGCAUGGCUCAAGGAUGGAUAGUUGAAGGGGGUGAUGAUGAAGAAGAGCUUUCCCAGGAUUCUAACAUCACAAAUGAGGAGAUUGGUGAAGUAACUAGAAGGAAUGUUCGAGAACUUGAUGAAGAUGAUUUCGAAUCAGAAGAUGAAGCUAAUGACGAUGAAAAUCUCACAUUUGAUUUUUAGGAUAUGAUCAACAUGGAUGGUGAAAGAUUGUUGUGUCUCCUGAUUGUAAUUAUAUAUGAAAAAAAAAAUAAUUUGUUGAUAUAGGUUAUGUAGUUGAGCGGUUUGUUCUAGAAGGAUGUUCCAUAUCAAAAGGGAUUCACAAGAAGGGGGGGGGGAGGUGUUUUGGUGGGAAAGCACUUUUUAGAAUGAAAAGCAAAUGUGAAAGAUAUUUGAAUUGAAGACAGAGAUGGGUGGUGUUAGUAUCCUGUUAAAUCGGCCAUCAGGUGAUUUAAGUAAUAGGUAAGUGGGAGUGGUUAAACAUUGUAAUUUAUGGGUCUAAAAUGGGCAUCAAAUGUAAGAAACUCGUUUUUGCCUUCAGCA